UGCAGUCGAGCGGACAGAUGGGAGCUUGCUCCCUGAAGUCAGCGGCGGACGGGUGAGUAACACGUGGGCAACCUGCCUGUAAGACUGGGAUAACUCCGGGAAACCGGGGCUAAUACCGGAUAAUUCUUUCCCUCACAUGAGGGAAAGCUGAAAGAUGGUUUCGGCUAUCACUUACAGAUGGGCCCGCGGCGCAUUAGCUAGUUGGUGAGGUAACGGCUCACCAAGGCAACGAUGCGUAGCCGACCUGAGAGGGGAUCGGCCACACUGGGACUGAGACACGGCCCAGACUCCUACGGGAGGCAGCAGUAGGGAAUCUUCCGCAAUGGACGAAAGUCUGACGGAGCAACGCCGCGUGAGUGAUGAAGGUUUUCGGAUCGUAAAACUCUGUUGUUAGGGAAGAACAAGUACCGGAGUAACUGCCGGUACCUUGACGGUACCUAACCAGAAAGCCACGGCUAACUACGUGCCAGCAGCCGCGGUAAUACGUAGGUGGCAAGCGUUGUCCGGAAUUAUUGGGCGUAAAGCGCGCGCAGGCGGUUCCUUAAGUCUGAUGUGAAAGCCCCCGGCUCAACCGGGGAGGGUCAUUGGAAACUGGGGAACUUGAGUGCAGAAGAGAAGAGUGGAAUUCCACGUGUAGCGGUGAAAUGCGUAGAGAUGUGGAGGAACACCAGUGGCGAAGGCGACUCUUUGGUCUGUAACUGACGCUGAGGCGCGAAAGCGUG
rnacentral:rRNA from 2 species